GAUCAUGGCUCAGAUUGAACGCUGGCGGCAUGCUUUACACAUGCAAGUCGAACGGUAACAGGCCUUCGGGCGCUGACGAGUGGCGAACGGGUGAGUAAUAUAUCGGAACGUGCCCAGUCGUGGGGGAUAACGUAGCGAAAGUUACGCUAAUACCGCAUACGAUCUAAGGAUGAAANCGGGGGAUCGCAAGACCUCGCGCGAUUGGAGCGGCCGAUAUCAGAUUAGGUAGUUGGUGAGGUAAAGGCUCACCAAGCCAACGAUCUGUAGCUGGUCUGAGAGGACGACCAGCCACACUGGAACUGAGACACGGUCCAGACUCCUACGGGAGGCAGCAGUGGGGAAUUUUGGACAAUGGACGCAAGUCUGAUCCAGCCAUUCCGCGUGCAGGAUGAAGGCCCUCGGGUUGUAAACUGCUUUUGUACGGAACGAAAAGGUUUCUCUUAAUACGAGGAGCUCAUGACGGUACCGUAAGAAUAAGCACCGGCUAACUACGUG
rnacentral:rRNA from 1 species